CCGCAGGUUCCUUCCUAAGUUUUCUACAAGGCACCCUGAGGCCGCUCUGCGCCUUGGGCGGCACAACCAUUAUUACCGGCUGCACUACGCUUCUGACCGGAAACCAAACAUGCUCAGCGCCCAUCUCGGUCACCCUACCCGAUACCUUGAAUAUCUCUAAGUGCCUGAAUCAGACGCUUCUGCUCUGCCAGAAUAGGACCAUCGCUACAGAUAGAUUGCUGAUGAAUGUCAUCAGCACCG
rnacentral:lncRNA from 1 species